UACGGAGGAGGCAAGCGUUAUCCGGAAUUAUUUGGCGUAAAGCGUCCGUAGAUGGUUUUGUCAGUCUGCUGUCAAAGCACAGGGCUUAACCCUGUAAAGGCGGUGGAAACUACAAGACUAGAGUGCAGUAGGGGCAGAGGGAAUUCCCAGUGUAGCGGUGAAAUGCGUAGAGAUUGGGAAGAACACCCGUGGCGAAAGCGCUCUGCUGGACUGCAACUGACAUUGAGGGACGAAAGCUAGGGGAGCGAAUGGG
rnacentral:rRNA from 1 species